AAUAGAUACCCCGGUAGUCCACGCCGUAAACGAUGAGUGCUAAGUGUUGGGGGGGUUUCCGCCCCUCAGUGCUGCAGCUAACGCAUUAAGCACUCCGCCUGGGGAGUACGGUCGCAAGACUGAAACUCAAAGGAAUUGACGGGGGCCCGCACAAGCGGUGGAGCAUGUGGUUUAAUUCGAAGCAACGCGAAGAACCUUACCAGGUCUUGACAUCCCGGUGACCACUAUGGAGACAUAGUUUCCCCCUUCGGGGGCAACGGUGACAGGUGGUGCAUGGUUGUCGUCAGCUCGUGUCGUGAGAUGUUGGGUUAAGUCCCGCAACGAGCGCAACCCUUAUUCUUAGUUGCCAUCAUUCAGUUGGGCACUCUAAGGAGACUGCCGGUGAUAAACCGGAGGAAGGUGGGGAUGACGUCAAAUCAUCAUGCCCCUUAUGACCUGGGCUACACACGUGCUACAAUGGACGGUACAAACGGUUGCCAACCCGCGAGGGGAGCUAAUCCGAUAAAACCGUUCUCAGUUCGGAUUGUAGGCUGCAACUCGCCUACA
rnacentral:rRNA from 1 species